rnacentral:rRNA from 1 species
GGGUCCGUAGGCGGACUUAUAAGUCAGUGGUGAAAGCCUGUCGCUUAACGAUAGAACUGCCAUUGAUACUGUAAGUCUUGAGUAUAUUUGAGGUAGCUGGAAUAAGUAGUGUAGCGGUGAAAUGCAUAGAUAUUACUUAGAACACCAAUUGCGAAGGCAGGUUACCAAGAUAUAACUGACGCUGAGGGACGAAAGCGUGGGGAGCGAACAGGAUUAGAUACCCUGGUAG